CACGGUCGGACUACCCAAGCAUCUUUGUUUGGUUUAUCGUUGCUUACGAGACUCUGUGUGUUUGGUUACUACAGUCUAGUCACAGCUUUCACCAGGAUUAGUUUACCUGGCGUUUCUGGGCUGUUCGCUGUUUUCUGCUCUGCCCUGUUGUGUUUUUUCAUUAAAAAAACCUUUGUGGAUUUCACUUCGGUUUCCGGCACGUUCUUUUCGCCUGAUAAUUGGAUAUAUGUUAAUACCAGUGUAGAAUUUAUAAUUGGAUAAAUUAUAGCUUUUUCAUUUCUUUUUUUUCCGUGCUUCAUUUUAAUUCCCUUGAGUUGAUUAAUGAAAACAACAUGCUUAAGGGCAUCAAUUAGUUCACAGGGGGCAAUAUGUGCAUCAAUUCAUAAUUAGCAUUUUUAGAAAACAUUUUUAGAACAGUUUUCCCAGUUUUAAAAAUGAUCAUUAAAUACUACAAUAUGCCGCGACAUACGCAAAUAGCGUUGUCUGCAGGAUAGGCAAGGAGCCAGGGCAUGCCAUGGGCCCCGGUGGAUUCACUGUCACAGAUGGACAUCUUGGAUUCUCUUAAGCAGCGGCCACUGAAAGGUAAAGGAUGGUAUGCAAAAGAUCCUGGUCCAUGAUGAAAUCUGUACAUAAUAUUUCAUGGGAAGUCUACACAACAUUCUUUAAUUUCUCAAUCAAGAGAUAAGAUGUAUAUUAAAAUUUUACUCCAAUGAUGGGUACUCCUAGUGAAGUAAUGCUUGUAGAUGGUAAGCAGAUGCAAACAACAAGUGUAUCCAGAUAUGAUGAGUUAUUCUCUGAAAUGGAGAAUAAAGUGCCAGCUGAACUAUGGUCUCAGCAUGACACAGAUGAAGGGUUAGUACAGUCAGCCAGUUGUGCCGGUCAGCUGAAGUUGGGCCAGGUACUUUUUUGCCUCAAAGGCAACAGCAUCCAUUACACCCUGAAGCAGAACAGGGUAUUCAUAAGACUAUAGAAGGUUUCCUAAAGGCCGGAGUUUUUAUUGAGAUGCCCAGCUUCUGUAAUACACCAAUAUUGCUAGUUGCUAAAGCUGGCAAGGAGAUGUUGGAACUGAACAGUUGUAGGUAUAAUAUUAUUUGUUCUGGGUUUGCUGUAUUAUUGCAUUAUUCCUGUUAUCAGAUCUCUUUUUAUAAAGGCAACCAUGAAACAGAUGGCAGUGAUGUGGGGACCUCCAGGCACAGAUGAGCAGCUUGUGGACUCUCCAGAGUCAGCUGGAAAUGUAAAAGAUGCUUUCAAAUGGCUCCCAGAGGUCUGGAGUGAGUGAUGAGUUUCUGGACAGGAAUGGAAUCCAUAAACAGCCAGCAACUCUAGUUGAAGAUGAGCUAGAAGGCGUAGCAGCCACGGCACCUCUGCUAAAUAAAUUACAGCAGAGCACAUUGAGUGUCAGUCAAGAAGGACAAAAUAUUGUCACAGGAAGUGUAAGAUUUACAGAGCCUCUAGAGGUUAUACUUUUGUUGAGAGAGGACUUCACUGAUUUUUCCUUAGGUAUUAUAUUGCAAGAUAAGAACAUGGACUGGGAUACAUUGGAUUCAGAAAACACAGAGGCCUCGAAAAGACUCAAGAAAUCAAACAACCAUAAAUAAGACACUCACCAAAGAGACAACAAACAAACCCACACAGAUCUAGAUUCAAAUACAAAUAUAAAGAUAGACAAAUACCAAGACAAAUAUAAUGAAUACACAAAACAAAAAAGGAGCAGGUGGGAGACAUGAAACAGUUAGGGGUUAGGGAGUAGGAGAUAGGGAGUAGGGGAUAAGGGCCCAGUGGCGGCAUCUAGUGGCCAAAGCAAAACCAAACAACCCAAAAUGUCCAAACGCUGACACAUAUACAUUCAUAAAUUACUCACACAUACUCACAUACACAUAUAUGCUAUACAUGUUCUCACACAUCUACACUUAUAUCCUGCAACAUACACAAGUAUUGUUUGUAUGUAUUAUUAUUUUAUGAAGUUUGAUUGUACUCACUUUACUGAUAAUUUAUAUGCACUUAUUUACUUAUUUACUCCAUUAAUAUGACUUUAUGAUAGGUUUACUCAAGAUACACUGGAUGAUUUUAUGCUGGAUUAAUGACACAGGUAUUAACUAUUUUGCCUAAAGUAUAUUAUAUAAGUUUAUAGUUAUUUGUCUACUGUACUGAAAAACUGCUGGAUAAUAAUGUAAGUGUAUACAAUAGCAAGAAUUUGUUCACAUGACAUAUGCACUAAUUGGCUGGAUGAGGGAUCUUUUACUCCUUCCUAGUCAAGUGUGAGGGGAGAUGUUUGGACCUGAGUCAUGGAAGAGAACAGAGUAGAGGACUGGUUAUUGUGAGUAAAGAUUGGGGAGGUCACGUAGGUUUGUGUAAAGAACUGGACCUCUGGUUUGAGAGAACUGGACCUCUUCAUUGUUCUUCUCUGUUGAUACAUUUUUAGGUUUGAGUGUUAAACUUUUCAAACCUCAGAGUAGGGAAUAUAUGGUGUUUUUGUAGCACAUAUCAUAUUAUUAGUUAUUGUAUCACAUCUCACAUUCACAGUGUUAUUUCGUUCUGUUUGUUAAUCACUUUUUGUUUAUUAACUACUUUUUAAGAUGUUUGUAGACCACUCAGAAUAACCAAGGUACUCAGUACUCAGUAUAUCCACAGUAAGCCCUAAUGUGUGCGAGUGGGUGAAAGCAUGAGUUUCAUUUAUGAUCAGUAGUUUUGUUGCCAACCUCAUAGAGAGUUCCAUUUCCUGCAUAGUGAGUUUUGGUUCAGGCCAGUACAUGCCUGAUUAUAAAAAAAAAAAAAAAGAUGAAAGUGUUCUGCCACUAUUAGAUCAUUAAAAGGAGAAAGCAUUGUACAUAUUAAAUAUGUGUGUGUGUGUGUGUGUGUUAUAAAUAAUAAUAAUAAUAAUAAUAACAAUAAUAAGGUGUAUCCCAGCUUGUAGAUGUAGAUGUGGUGAAAGUGCAAUUUUAAUUCUGCGCCCUGCUAGAAAUGUAACGUUUGAUGAGCAGUGUAUAGAUUGUAAAUACAAUGUGUCAUAAGUAUUUGACAUAGCACUUUGUCACUGUUAAAGACACACAAGUUCAGAAUUAUGUUUACUUAAAAGCAGAUUAGACUUUUUUAUUGUGUACAUUUCAGCUCACCAGCUUAUUACCUUUAUAAUGCAUCGUCUAUUGUUUCCAACCAUGAUUGAGCAUGCAUACAUGAUUAUUAUACAUAUUCUAACAUGCAUAAUAAUAUACUGGCAUAGAAGAAGCAAAAUAAGAGACAUUUUGGAAGAAACAAUGAUAAUUAAACAUACAGCAAUAUAAAAUUACAUUGUCUUAAGCCAAAAAUUACACUAUAGACAUUAACAUAAAACUAUUGGCUAUACCAUAGUCAUUACUAGACAAUGAGCAAUAUUUAAAUGCAUAAUAAAUAUUUUUAUAAUUUAAAAUGCAUAUUCAUAAAUAAUUAUUACAACGUGUUUAAUUAUAUGAAUCUAUUAAAUUGUUAUACGUUUGUAUACUGUAGUUCAUCAUGUAUAUUCCCUUCACAAAGCAGUUCAACAAAUUGUGUGCACAAUACUGUGGAAAGUCUCAGGCCUCCUCUAGAUUUAUUGUUAAGUGGCUUUGCUGAUGCAAAAGUAUAAUUUUAUGUCUGUCAAAUUCUGUGAUCUUCGGCAUUUUGAAUUGAAUAAUGUGAUGUAAUGUUGGUAUUAUUAGCAAGCUAUUAAUGAAUUUAACUCAUACAAUAUAUGCAUGUAAUGUAAUGCACAAGCGUGUCUUGCACAAGUCUGGUGUAAUAGACUUUUUCACAGCAGCCAUUUUUACAUGGACAAAUACAGGUGUUAGCAAUGACAUUAAUUAGGCCUCUUUUUUAUUUAGGUUUACAAGAGCCAGGUUCCUGCUAUUGCUCAAGUAUAAGGGGAGGUCACACUAAAUAGGCAUUUUUUUCAGAUAUUUUUCUUUUUGUUUCAAUUGUCAGUACAAUUUUUCUAUAUUGUCUGGUUGCAUUUUACUAAAUAAAUAAAUGGGAAACUAAAAAAUUAUUUAUGGUCAGAAGAUCAAUGCUGAAACAACAAAUCUAAUGAUGGCCUAAGACUUUUGCACAGUAAUAUUCCUCUAUACAAACUGCUUUCUUAUACAGUUGACUGACUGACUGACUAAUUUAAUAAUUUUUUAUCAUUCUUCACUAUACUGUCCUUCAGCAAAAAAGUUCUAACAUAUUUGUUGUUUGAUUAUUAAUAUAUAUGUUAUAAAGCAAAUCCAGCAAUGAGACAUAUGUACAUAUUCUUCUUUAAGGAACCUGUUCUCACUCAUGAAAAGAGAUCUGUUCAGAAAGAUGACAGAUAUGAUUAAAUAAAAUACAUGUUACACCAACAAA